rnacentral:rRNA from 1 species
UACAGAGGUCUCAAGCGUUGUUCGGAUUCAUUGGGCGUAAAGGGUGCGUAGGCGGCGCGGUAAGUCGGGUGUGAAAUCUCGGAGCUUAACUCCGAAAAUGCAUUCGAUACUGCCGUGCUUGAGGACUGGAGAGGAGACUGGAAUUUACGGUGUAGCGGUGAAAUGCGUAGAUAUCGUAAGGAAGACCAGUGGCGAAGGCGGGUCUCUGGACAGUUCCUGACGCUGAGGCACGAAGGCCAGGGGAGCAAACGGG